UAUUUCAUGUUGUUAAGGUUUUUGAUCUAAAUAUUUACAUGGGCUAUGGCACAAAGGACCACUCUAAUGUUGACCCAUGGAAAGGAGCUGUCAGAAGAUUGGAAGCGGUCCAGUGUGAGCCAAUGGGAAUGGGUUCUUUCUGGAGAGGCUUGUCAAGGAACCAGGCUUGUGUCUGGAUGACAAUGGGACAAGGGGACAUCUGGACCAGUCGAAGACCGACUUUUUCUGUCCGACAUCGGCCCAUCUUGAAAGUGAGAGGCAUGAAGAUGUGACGUUCAGUGUCCUCCAUUUAGAUUUUGAUCUCAUUGUCCUGUCACCCUUUUGGCCCCGCUC
rnacentral:lncRNA from 8 species